rnacentral:rRNA from 1 species
UACGUAGGGUGCAAGCGUUAAUCGGAAUUACUGGGCGUAAAGCGUGCGCAGGCGGUUUUGUAAGUCUGACGUGAAAUCCCCGGGCUUAACCUGGGAAUUGCGUUGGAGACUGCAAGGCUGGAGUCUGGCAGAGGGGGGUAGAAUUCCACGUGUAGCAGUGAAAUGCGUAGAGAUGUGGAGGAACACCGAUGGCGAAGGCAGCCCCCUGGGUCAAGACUGACGCUCAUGCGCGAAAGCGUGGGGAGCAAACAGG